rnacentral:lncRNA from 1 species
CGCGGAGCCGCGGGAGGGACGGGACGCGCUCCGGGACGCGCAGGGUACCAAAACGCACGAGGGGCAGAGCUAGCGGGGGCGAUGGGGAGCUCGCAGCCGCUGUGCGCUCGAGCUGCCGGCAGCAGUGCACGCUGAGCGAUGCGGCCGGGAGAGCCCCGAUGUGCGGUGGCCGCGCUGAGGCACCGCGGGGGGAGCGGUCCUUCGGAGCGGUCGUUCUCUCCGUGCCCCACCCCGGGGGCAGCGGCGGUACCCGGAGCGCGGCGCCCGCACGGGGCUGCGGGGGGGACACGUCAGAACGAACAUCGCGCCGCCGCACAGCGCACGUUUUCAAACCGGGAGCAAAAAUAUAACUGGAAAUGACGUCUGGGUGCGGGGGACAUUUCGGAGACUUCAUUUAGAGCUUUACGACAGCUUAUGCAAACUUCACUCCCCCUUCGCUUCCCCCUCGCGGUGCCCGACUGCUCUUUGGAGAACUGCCUCUCAAACCCAGCCCGACCCUCCCCAGCACGAGGUGAGGCACGAGGUGAGGCCGUCACCUCCCGUCCUAUGGCUGGUUACGAUAUUAACCCCAACGCUGUGGCUGCAGGAGCCGCAUCAGUGCAAAGGAAGCCGGUUCCUUCUAAUUGCUGCAGCUCAAUUUACCCAAUCCUUCUUGCUCCUGGAGAGACUCGCAGACUGAGAACGUCUGUCUCCUGUCGCAUGGGAUGAGGUGUCUUUGCGACAUACUGUAGAUGAAGGCCACAUCACCCCUCCUGACUUCUUGGCACCACGACUUCACUUUCACAAGGUUAACACCAAACGGAGUCCAUUGAGACGAGAACUGGAAUUAAAGUAGAAGCUGACAUAACCAUGUUAGCGGUCUGUUAGCACUUGGGAUUGUGGUUCCCUGGAGCCCCUUCCAUGGAGCCAAUGCCACAAGCCAGCCCCCGCCUCCCCGCCUCCCAAGGAUUCUUUGGCAAUGACGCUUCCAAUCCUUUAUGUUUAAAGCAGACUCUCCUCCACCCUCACCAGAACCUACCGCCUCAGGACUCAGGAUGUGACUGAAGGAAAGAAAAUCCUCCAACCACAAAAAUAAGCCUAAAAUGCCAUUACUGGCACCGUGUGUUCAACAUCACUGCUCUGUUAUGCCGACAGGAGGGCUGAGCAGCAGCAGCAGCAGCCGUGGUUCCCAUCCUUUGGCCCUCCCGUGCCCCACUCCAGAGAGAAGUCGAAUUGAUAGGAAAGCUGUACCUUUCCCAUUGGUAUUUUUCCCCAAAGCACAGCUGCUUGAUGGAGCAUUCGAAGAGUGCUUACCCCAGGAGGUGACGUUUUGGGUUUCGCAUGCUGGAACAUUCAGCCCCAAGUGGCACCCAAAGAAAAGCCGAAGGCAACCACAGCAUCCACCCCACCUCCCAUGGCUCUGCCAUCUGCAAACUGCUCGUAAACGAGGGCCAGGCAGACAGAUGGGCUGUGCUGCAAAGCCAACCUUGCAGCACACAGCACCACUGCACCAUCAAAGGACUUAAGCAGAAAAAGACAGGAGCACCAGAAGAAAACUAAACCGGUAUAUUUUAAUUCUACAAAAAAUGUAUAAAUAUUUCAAUGUACAGCAAAGAGUACCAGGAUGCCAUUUAAUAACUGUUACAACAUUGAAAAUGUGCAAUUCUUUAUCCACAAUCUACCUUUAUAGAUUUCAGUUCAUCCCUGCACUCAUCCAGGAGCGCUGCUAAGCAAGGCCCAGGGUCUCCAUGCCUCGUGCCAUCUCCCACUUCACCAAAGCCCACCGCAAUCCCAACGCUCCCCCCGGUAACUGUGUGCCCCAAGUGUCCAUGAGGGCCAACUUACCAAGCUGGCCCGAAUGUGGAGAAGAGAAAUAGACAGGGAUGGUAACCUGCUGGGGCAGUGGUUCUUGAUGGAAGCGGCCAAGUGUCGGAGAGGAAGCGCUGACACAAAGCCAUGGAUGCUGCUGGUGCCCACUCAGCACCACCAGCCCAGGACAGACUCCUGCUGCUGGGACAGACUGGGGCUCACCAACUCCUUUUGUCUCCCCAGGCUGUUCCACAUGGGGAAUGCAAGGACUUUUAGAUAGCACAGAACCCAAGGAGAACUUCAGGCCCCACUUGUUCCUGCUUUCUCCUGUCUCCUUGGGCUCGCAUUGCACUGAUGACCACUGACACUGUGGCUGGCCCUCACUUCAUCAGUGCAAUCCUUAACACAAGGACUAGAAGCAAGUCUCUGGUGACAAUGAUAAAAUAAUUCUAUUUAGCAUUCGUAGAGUUCUCUUUAUUUUAAACACAUUGUGCAAAUAGAAGCCAGUCCUCCCAACACCCUUCAGAGGUAUUUCAUAAACGGGGAGCCCAACAGAGCCAUGCUUAUCAGAUGUGGUCUGUGACUCUGAGUGCUCCCCUUUGUGGGCACGCAACCAAAGGAGAGAUUUCAAAUGAUUUGCCAAGGAAACACAGAACUUCAGGAGAUGGAGGGAAGGCUGGGGUCCAGGCACUCCGAAACUUACAUUCAUUCCCUACAUCACAAUUUGUCACCCUUGACGUUGCAUCAGCACUUAAGGUGCCUCUCACCACUACCACCUCAUUCUACAUGAGAGGUUUGUGUGAAAUUCUUCUGGAAGGACUCAGGGGUUUUCCAUAUUCUCUCAAAGGAGGCAGAUCCAGGAUCUGACCCCUCAUCAAGGAGGUAGGUCUGGGAUUCGAGCCAACAGAAACACCCGCUGUGUCUGAGGCUAAAUUCAGUGCUUUUUUCCUAAGUCAGGAUGUAAAUUCUCAGUUUAAGCCACUCUGAGACCGCACCUCAAGGCUGGCCAACUGCAGACUGCUUGCACCUCUCACCACCUUCAAGCAACGAUGCCAAGAGAACCUCCCAGUGCAAACACAGCCUCUAAGAGGUGCAGCAGCCACCACCUCGUGCACUGGGGAUUCUCUGUCAGCAACACAGUCACACUGCAGGUAGCCAUCAGCUGGCACCAUGAGUGCACACUCCUAAGGCUCAUGGAUGCUGUAGGACCUUCCAUAACUUCCACUUCUGCAAUGACAAGCAGAAGCCAAGCAUCCGGAUAUAUCAUCCACCAGCCUGAGUGGCUGUGCAUCUGGAACAGCCCUUGGAAAGGAGACAGAGAAAUAAUUUAGAGGAAGAAAAUCUGCAUGGAGAUUGGUGUUUACAUCUGUUUGCGAUGUUUGUAUGCUGUUCCUGUGAAGAAAGACUACAGCCAUCUUCUGCUGUGAUGGCUUUUUAGCCAUACUGAGUAGUUCUGGGGGGACUGAAAGAUGAGACUGGAAGUGCCUGACAGCUCUCUGAGCAGGGCUGUUGGGAUAGACAUGCCAGCUGCUGUGACAUGGCAGCAAACACUUUUCAAAUUGAACAGGCUUCUAGGUUUCAUGUCAUGAUAUGUAUCUAGAAAAUAUGAACGGCCUACGAAGUUCUACUACCUGCAUAUGAGAACACUAAUCCAUCCUGCUGUGAUGGCCAAUGGAAAUGAUACUGACGUGGAUAGGUCACCUUCCCAUACCCAGCCUCAGGCUGACACAUUAGCUCCUGGGAUGCCUCCGACAUUGACUACGUGUCAUUGGUGCUUCUUUAAUAACCAUGCUAACAAAGCAAAAUGAUUAAGCCACGAAAUUAUUAAAAAUAUAAAUAAGCAUCUGCCAUCUCUACUGGAGCCGGACCCAACCCACAGUUGUACCCCUGUGAUUGGGAACGCCCCCGAAUGCGUUUCACACAGGAUGCAGGGACACAGUGAUGCUCAAAAGCAGCAGCUGCAGGUUGGGCCCAGCCUGACACCUGGUCUCUGUUUCUCACAGAGGACCAACUGAGUGGAAGCAGCAAGAACCCUUUAAGCCUCCCAGGUGUGAGGCCGCAGGCCCUAACCCUAACCCAGUCUUCCUACUGCAGAUUUCAACGCGUGUUACUCCUUCUUAGCAUUGUUCCAACGUCUCUUCUGUUGUUUCAUUUAAUUUCAGUUUAUGAUUGCGCUCCACUUUGCUGCUGUUUCAAACACACACACGUGGGUAUCCCGCUGUCUCUUGGCCUCAGAAACUGCACACCGCCUCAGUGGCCUGUCCAGUGCAGGGCUUCCCCGCCGCCAGCAUCCCAUCGCACUGCCAGGAAAGCCAGAUGUACCAACACGUGGAGGCUGUAGAACCACCGGCCGCCAUUCCCAGCGCCCUCAGCUCCGUAAGGCAUUUCGUGCCGUGCCGCUGCUCCGCAGCACGAUGUACCACACACACCAACACAGCACACCCAACCCCUCCAACCAAAUUUCACAGAGGUUUCUCUCGAAUCAGUCACUGAGGACAUUCGCGUUGCUAACGGCGCAGGUUUUGAUAUUUAUAAGCUCCAAUGCACUUCUUUUGAGCAGUCACAGGUUAGAAGGGGGCACGUGGAGCCCUGCUGGAGGACAACACAGCACGGCUCCAUCGGUCGGCGGGCCUCCUGCGGGUGUGAGGCCUCCAACAGGGCCGCGGUUUCCAGCGGGCCUGGGGCCUCCUGUGGGCGAGAGGUUUCCAGUGGGCCUGAGGGCUGCACGUCGGCGGGAGCCGUGGGGCCGGGCCGCGCCGUCAGGCCCCCAGCGUCAUGUUGCGCAGCAGCCACUGCUGGGACCGGCCGCCCGCACACUCCUUCAUGCUGGGGACCAGCUUGUCCUCCUCCGACGGCCCGUCCAGGCACUGGUUGCUGUUGACGUGCCUCAGGGUGAGCUUCUGCAAAGAGAAGUGGAAGAGCUGAAGCACCAAGAAAAUCGCAGCUGGAAAUGCCCCAUGGGUGGUUUUAGCCCUGCCCAAGGCCCGGCUCUGCGCCACCCCCACCGUGCUACCUGCCGCCCGGCCACACACACUGGAUGGGACACAGAGUACACCAGUGAGCAUAUGUGAAUAUCACCCCGAAGCAGCAGUGCUCUGGUUUAAGGAAUUCAGACUCCAACAACCCUAACAGACAUGCAUUUCAGGCCACUUGGUGUCAGUUCAGAAAUAAUUGCUAGUGGAAAACUUAUGCUUCCAAAGCAAACUUCAAUUAGUUACGUAUUACAUGAACAACACCAUCGUACAGGUGAUAGUCUUUCUCUUUUCGGUGUGCUUUUUCUUCUCUGGGACACCUGUCCCUGUCAUUAUUUGACUACACUGCACUGUUUCUGGGGAAUGGGGGACUCAGAAGGGGACAGCAGGAAGCUGAACAUCUUUACCUGAAAUAACGUGCUCAAAAGCACUGGGAGCAUAAUACGUACAGAGUCCAAGGGAAGGUGAAUGUAUCACUGCAGACUAAGCCUGAGCUCUUUACAGCAGCUCUGUGCAGGUUAUAACCAUGCCCUAGCCAGAACAGCCAAGGGAACGGAUUUCCUUAACAACCACAACACAUUCUGCCUGGUUUUAUAUGCAGGCACAGACCUGGGCUGCUACACCAUGGAUUCUGCAGUCCAUUCUACACUGCAAUUCUACACUGCAGUCCAUCCUGGAUUGACAUGUCACACACACUAACACUCUUUAUUUCUAUUACGAUUAUUGUUUCACUGGCUCAUCCUUAGAGGUUGGCUCCUUGGUUUAAAACAAACUAUUAAGCCCUUCUCAAAGAAAAUCCUACGGAUAUUGUAAGAAAUCACUGGGGGUGCAUCUGACAUGCAUCCAGUGACGAAUAUCAGGAAUUCAUGUCUAAUUACUGGAGGGAAGAGUUAGCAGUGCGAACAGAAGUAGCUUGUUUACCAAACAGCACUGCUCAAAGCACCGCUGAUUCUUCACUCACAUUGUUUUUUGAGCAAUUAACCAGCCAUCAUUUUCUGCUGGAACCAGAAAUGCAAAGAAGUCUAAAAAAGCUGCCGCCGCCUUCAUCAGCUGUUCCCUUCUUUUCAGUGUAUAAUUUAGUGCUAGACUGACAUAUUAUUGGGAUUUUCAACCGUCUCAUAGAUUCUUUUUCUUUCUGUGUUCUAUCAUUAUUUAUGCUAUUACAAAAAAGGCCUCGUUUGCUUGGGAAACAAUUAAUUACUAGGCAAUAUGAUACUCAUACAAGGCAGCCUAAAAUUUCCAUUUCACUCAAAGCUGAGAACACACGGAUGGGUGCAGAGCAAGCUGCACACACAGUCAGAUGCACAAGAGCUACGCUGUUUCACACUUAGCAAUGUAUGCAAAUGACAGCUGUGAUGGGAAAUCCCUCAGCUCUGGGGUCUGCACUAACAAGAGCAGUGCUCACCUCAACUUCAGAGCGGUGCACCUGGACGUGGAGGGCACAGUUUGCUGAAUGACAAUAUAAGACAUGAGAGCAACCCCUGCUUGUGCCACUGAACUUAUGUGGUCCCACUGUCUUCCACUAUGCAUACACAUCAGUGAAACUAUCCGGGCAAGGAAGCCAGUGGUCAGCACAGUAUUUCUGAUUCC